rnacentral:rRNA from 1 species
CCUACGGGUGGCAGCAGUGGGGAAUAUUGGACAAUGGGCGAAAGCCUGAUCCAGCCAUGCCGCGUGUGUGAAGAAGGCCUUCGGGUUGUAAAGCACUUUCAGUGGGGAAGAAAGCCUUGGGGCUAAUACCCUCGAGGAAGGACAUCACCCACAGAAGAAGCACCGGCUAACUCCGUGCCGGCAGCCGCGGUAAUACGGAGGGUGCGAGCGUUAAUCGGAAUUACUGGGCGUAAAGCGCGCGUAGGCGGUCUGAUAAGCCGGUUGUGAAAGCCCCGGGCUCAACCUGGGAACGGCAUCCGGAACUGUCAGGCUAGAGUGCAGGAGAGGAAGGUAGAAUUCCCGGUGUAGCGGUGAAAUGCGUAGAGAUCGGGAGGAAUACCAGUGGCGAAGGCGGCCUUCUGGACUGACACUGACGCUGAGGUGCGAAAGCGUGGGUAGCAAACAGGAUUAGAUACCCUGGUAGUC